rnacentral:lncRNA from 1 species
UUCUCUAGUCACUCUUGGCUCAGUCACACUGUUAUUUACAAAGCCAUUUUGGGCUAACUACAAUUUUAUUGUUUUUUAUUGUUCAGAAAUGUGGUGGGUACUCUAUUCGUUCGCAGGACUUUAUCCUGAUAACUGUUCCAAAUGUCUGAACUGAAUUUGGUAAAAGGGCUUUUAUGUACUCUGUGCCAUCGGCUUGGUACGACUUACAAAAUGCUUUUAAACUGUAAGAACUUGUCCUGAUUGGUGUUUUUAAAUCACUGAUGAAGGAUUUUGAGGCUGAUUCCCUGACCUGUCAAUGUUUUUAAUUUGCUGUUUUAUGAUUUUGUCAUACUCUUGUGAAUUCUAUGGUUUAUACUAGAUUACUUGUAGUUUUGCAUGUUGUCUGUCUGUAAUUGUGUAAUGACUUUGUGCUGCCUAACUUGGCCAGGACGCUCUUGAAAAAGAGAUUUCAAAUCUCAAUGAGCCCUUCCUGGUUAAAUAAAGGUGAAAUAAAUAAAAUAAAUAAAGUAUGACCACCACCGGUGCAGCGAGACCCACUACAACAUCUACAUUAUCCGCAAGUAUGACCACCACCGGUGCAACCAUGGAAGAUGAUGAAAUGGAGGAAGCACCUCUGGAUCUAGGACCGCCUGAGAUUAUUAUGAACCUCACGGAUGUGACCACUGAGGACCUCGUUGAACAGGAUGUGGCCGUGGAGAGAAACGAGGAGAGAAACGAAGAGAGAAACGAAGAGGAACAACGUCACACCAGGCGUCCUCGGCGGUACCAGCCCCCAGAUCCACUCAACUCAUUUCAGCAGAGGCUCCUCCAAGCCGUCGAGAGGGAUGCAGCCCAACCUGAUGCUCGCAGGAAGGAGGAUGAAGAGACCCUCUUUGCCAUGAGCCUGGUGCCAACACUGAAGAGGCUGCCUCAACAAAGAAAAGCAGCAGUCAAGGAUAAAAUGUAUCAGCGGCUUUUCGAAGCCAAGUUCAAUGAGAUGGAGUCAAUUUAGCCGACCAGCUCACAGGAAGGACAGGAAGAGGAGAGGAGUUGUCUGGUUGCUGUUUUGACCUCCCUCAUUGUACCUUUCUUUUCACACACGUCAGUUCCGUUUAAAUUCAGUCAAUUCAUAAAGUAAUUUGUUUAUAAAGUCUUAGGAUAGCAUUCAUUAUUAGUGUUACAUAGAUUUCUGAAUUGACAGAAUUGAAACUCAUACACAGGAGAAUUAACAGAUGCUCUUGUUGGUCUCUUACAAGACUAAAGGUGAAUAUAUUUCUUUCAUUUAAAACCACUUAAAAACCAGGGUGUUGAAACUGGUUGUAAUGUUAUGUUCCAUUGACUGGUCCAUGACGUCCAAGGGCCAUGUGUUAAGUUGGGGAAAUUUCACCUCUCCAGGAACUCAGCAGCGAUGGCCCUCCAGUCUUCCUCCUUGGGGACAGGCAUGUAUUCACCAACCAGACAGUCCCAAAUGGCUUGUGCCACAGAGGGGACAAUGCCUGCCACCGUGGACCGUCCAACUCGGAAGCUGAAUCCAAUGGUCCUGUAGGAGUCCCCUGUCGCCAAGAAUCUGAAAUAUAAUUCCAAAUAAUUAUCAAUAUUGUGUGUAACUUGAAUUCCACCCACAUAUUAUAUCUACUUAUAUAGCUACCUCAUUACUGUUUAUUAAGCUCUACUAAUUAUAUUGUAA